UAAUCUUUAUUUACUCUUUUGAUUUAUUAAGUUACAUUCUUACAAUUUAUCAGGUAUUAACCAAAGUGUUAGUAAAUGAGUAUAUUAUUUGUAUAGUUAGAUUAGGUAUAUUUUUAGUAUUUAUUCCUGUGAAUAAUGUAAAAAACAAAAUUGGUUAUCUUUAUUAUCUUUGGAGAUAUUAUAUUGCAAUGACUAGGUAUAUCUUUGUGAGACUCUGUAUUAUUUAUAACCAGUGUAGACUAAAUGUUGAUUUAUUAAAACUAACAGGUCCACGUGAAGGACAAUCAGUAACUGGUAAGUUUUUUUUUUUCUUUAAUACCGUGUUUUUUUCAAAGUUUGAUUAUAUUUUUUAGAUGCUGUUGUUGCGCAUGUCUUUAACACUUCAAGUAAA